UCAAGCUACAAAGGGCUCACGGUGGAUACCUUGGCACACAGAGGCGAUGAAGGACGUGUUUACCUGCGAUAAGUCUCGGGGAGCUGGAAAAACGCUUUGAUCCGGGAAUUUCCGAAUGGGGCAACCCCUAGAACGGCCGCCUGAAUCCAUAGGGCGGUGCGAGCCAACCCAGCGAACUGAAACAUCUUAGUAGCUGGAGGAAAGGAAAGUAAAAACGACUCCCUCAGUAGCGGCGAGCGAACGGGGAAGAGCCUAAACCGAUGGUUUCGACCAUCGGGGUUGUGGGACAGCAACGUGUAUCAGGGAUGUUAGAAGAAGCGUUUGAAUGGCGCACCACAGAGGGUGAAAGUCCCGUAUUCGAAAAUUGAACUGAGCUAGCUGUAUCCCGAGUAGCACGGAGCACGUGAAAUUCCGUGUGAAUCCGCGAGGACCACCUCGUAAGGCUAAGUACUCCUGUGUGACCGAUAGCGCAACAGUACCGCGAGGGAAAGGUGAAAAGAACCCCGGGAGGGGAGUGAAAUAGAACAUGAAACCGUGAGCUUACAAGCAAUGGGAGCCCGACUAAUCGGGUGACCGUGUGCCUGUUGAAGAAUGAGCCGGCGACUUAUAGGCACUGGCAGGUUAAACCGGGAAUGGUGGAGCCAUAGCGAAAGCGAGUCUGAAUAGGGCGAUUGUCAGUGUUUAUAGACCCGAACCCGGGUGAUCUAACCAUGGCCAGGAUGAAGCUUGGGUGAUACCAAGUGGAGGUCCGAACCGACUGAUGUUGAAAAAUCAGCGGAUGAGCUGUGGUUAGGGGUGAAAUGCCAAUCGAACCCGGAGCUAGCUGGUUCUCCCCGAAAUACGUUGAGGCGUAGCGUCUAGUGCUCCAGCAGGGGGGUAAAGCCACCGUUUCGGUGCGGGCUGCGAGAGCGGUACCAAAUCGAGACGAACUCUGAAUACCCUGUGUGUAACUAGGCAGUCAGACUGUGGGGGAUAAGCUCCAUGGUCGAAAGGGAAACAGCCCAGACCGCCAGCUAAGGUCCCCAAAUCAACGCUAAGUGAUAAAGGAGGUGGGAUUGCCCAGACAACCAGGAGGUUUGCCUAGAAGCAGCCAUCCUCAAAGGAGUGCGUAAUAGCUCACUGGUCGAGCGAUCCUGCGCCGAAAAUGAACGGGGCUAAGCGUUGUACCGAAGCUGCGGAUUAAACUUGUUUAAUGGUAGGGGAGCGUUCCAUGUGGGGUGAAGCGUUAGCGUAAGCGGGCGUGGACUGCAUGGAAGUGAGAAUGUCGGCUUGAGUAGCGAAAACAUGGGUGAGAAUCCCAUGCCCCGAAACCCUAAGGGUUCCUCCGGCAGGCUCGUCCGCGGAGGGUUAGUCAGGACCUAAGGCGAGGCCGAAAGGCGUAGUCGAUGGACAACAGGUCAACAUUCCUGUACUGAUCAUGUUUUGGGAAGGGGGACGGAGAAGGCUAGCCAAUCCGGAUGUUGGUUACCGGUCCAAGCGUUCGAGGCGUUGAGAGCUGGAGAAAACAGCUUGAGCUGAGGCGUGAGUGCGAGCUUCUACGGAAGCGAAGUUGGUGACGUCAAGCUUCCAAGAAAAGCCCUAUACCCGUUAAGGCAUGAUUACCUGUACCCGAAACCGACACAGGUGGGGUGGUAGAGAAUACCGAGGGGCGCGAGGUAACUCUCUCUAAGGAACUCGGCAAAAUGACCCCGUAACUUCGGGAGAAGGGGUGCCAGCGCGAGCUGGUCGCAGUGAAUAGGCCCAGGCGACUGUUUACCAAAAACACAGGUCUCCGCUAAGUCGCAAGACGAUGUAUGGGGGCUGACGCCUGCCCAGUGCCGGAAGGUUAAAGAAGUUGGUCAGCGCAAGCGAAGCUAACGACUGAAGCCCCGGUGAACGGCGGCCGUAACUAUAACGGUCCUAAGGUAGCGAAAUUCCUUGUCGGG
rnacentral:rRNA from 1 species